AACGAACGCUGGCGGCAGGCCUAACACAUGCAAGUCGAACGCCCCGCAAGGGGAGUGGCAGACGGGUGAGUAACGCGUGGGAACCUACCUUUCGGUGCGGAAUAACUUCGGGAAACCAAAGCUAAUACCGCAUACGCCCUACGGGGGAAAGAUUUAUCGCCGAUAGAUGGGCCCGCGUCGGAUUAGCUAGUUGGUGAGGUAACGGCUCACCAAGGCUACGAUCCGUAGCUGGUCUGAGAGGAUGAUCAGCCACACUGGGACUGAGACACGGCCCAGACUCCUACGGGAGGCAGCAGUGGGGAAUAUUGGACAAUGGGCGCAAGCCUGAUCCAGCCAUGCCGCGUGAGUGAAGAAGGCCUUAGGGUUGUAAAGCUCUUUUAGUGGGGACGAUAAUGACGGUACCCACAGAAUAAGCCCCGGCUAACUUCGUGCCAGCAGCCGCCGUAA
rnacentral:rRNA from 1 species